ACCUAUAGUGUUAUUGGCUAUUUAUUUAUCUCUUGGCCCAGUCAUUGAACUCCCUUAAAAUCUUUAAUCCGUACCUUUGCAUAUACUAAGAUUCUGUGGCUUUAUAGCAUUUUAUUUGCCGGAGUUUCUAAUUUUAUUUUGAUCUUUCCGCCUACUCGGCCUCCGUGAUUAGAGUACUUUUCCCUCAAUCUCAUGAGUCAUUGUCUUUUCUACAUUUGCGCG
rnacentral:lncRNA from 1 species